GACGAACGCUGGCGGCGUGCUUAACACAUGCAAGUCGAACGGUAAGGCCCUUCGGGGUACGACGAGUGGCGAACGGGUGAGUAACACGUGGGUGAUCUGCCCUGCACUUCGGGAUAAGCCUGGGAAACUGGGUCUAAUACCGGAUAGGACCAUGGACUUCACGGUUUGUGGUGGAAAGCUUUUGCGGUGUGGGAUGGGCCCGCGGCCUAUCAGCUUGUUGGUGGGGUAAUGGCCUACCAAGGCGACGACGGGUAGCCGGCCUGAGAGGGUGUCCGGCCACACUGGGACUGAGAUACGGCCCAGACUCCUACGGAGGCAGCAGUGGGGAAUAUUGCGCAAUGGGCGAAAGCCUGACGCAGCAACGCCGCGU
rnacentral:rRNA from 1 species